ensembl:lncRNA
CUGGCAGCAUUCAGGUUCAUAGUCAUUGGCUGAAACAUGGCAUGGCUGAUUCCCCUUUUUGCGUAGUCACAGCAACUCCUGCUAUGACGACACUGACUGGACCGAAAGCCGAGGCCUGUGGUCUCUCUACCACUGCGCUGAGACAGACUGCACCGGACCGCACCCCAUGUCAUUCCAGUGCACAUUUUUUUCUGGGUUGACCCAUAUGCCGCCAUGUGCCAACGCCGGGAGAACCUGGACUCAAUAACCGGCAGGAAGACCCUCAGCGAUUCUCAGGACCCUCCGGAGAGAUUGCUUCUAUGUGGAGAUGUAAAGCCCAGUGUGUCUCUUGUGAAUGCCCCUUUUGUGUGAAGUAAGGACGAAAUGCGAGGCAAGGUAAACUCCAAAUAGAAGUGCACCUGGCUGCACUGAAGGCUCUACGCGUGCCACUGAAUGGAUCUAUAUUACUGCAUUACAGAUAAGUAUCACAGCACAUAUGCAUGGCACAUAUCUGCAUACCCACAUGCACAAAUAUACAGUACACAGCUGUUAUGUAUGUCUUAAAUCUGCAUAUACAUAUGCCAGGGCACGCUCACAUGCACGCUGGAUAGACACGCACAUGUGAGCACGCACAGAGGCACACAACAGCUCCGUGGAAUUUAAGUUCCUUGAUUUGCAGCUUGGGUGCGGAAAAACACAUGUUGCCACUUAAUACCCUAGGCUAGAUUUGCACUCAUUUAAAACGUAUCCCUGAUGAUGUCUCCACUGAAGCAAGCCCUUAUACCAUUAGACAUGCCACCCAGAAGCCUUUCCUCGCUGGAAAGCUGAUGCCAUGCGUGGCUUGGCUUGGCAAACAUUGUUCUUGGCCACGAGUGUUGAUGCUAUAAAAGCACAUUUGCCCUCUUCAAACUCUGUCCAAAAUACUUCACAGAUAGUUCAGAUGCAGCAAUAUAUGUUUCAUUUCAUCCCCAUGCAUCAUAAAGUGUGAGAUAGUUUAUAAGCCUGUGAUUUGUUCCCCACUUUUGACUCAUGCUGCCCUUCUUUUGUUAUGUGCUUUCUCUCUGUAGCUCAGAGGAUAGGUGAGGCAUUCCACAGGUGCUGGGGUUCUUCCUGUAAACAGUAUUACUGGUCAGGGCAUUAUGUUUGGUUUAAUAGCACAAUGUAUAAAGGCUGGGCCAAAAUAUGAAUCAACCAGACUCAACAGUUAUGAAAAUAUUUAUCUUCCCUCGAAAGUAAGUAGGUGGGAAUGAUCAAAUAUUGGUUAUCUUGCUUACUUGCUUACUUAAUACGGUUUCACAAGCUUGUGACCCCAAGAUGAGAUAAUGCUUUGCCAUAUUCAGUGACUGAGAGAGUUGUGUAAUAAAGUUGAAUAAUAACUCUAAUAAUGACUCACACAGGAAGACUAUGUGCAUCCAAGAGGGGUGCUUGGAUAGAUAGGCCUCUGGAUAACAUAACAGCUGGGAGGUUUUCAUUUAGUCUUUUUGGGGACAACUUCAGAGGCCUGGGCAUCUCAAAUGAGCGGCCUUACACACACACAAGAACAAAAAUACAAAACAAAAGUGUGCUCAUAUAUAGUUUAUGGUAUUAUCUAAAAGCAUAUGCAUCUAAAUCGAAAGUAUAAGGUUAUAAGGGUUAGGUUUUUGAUAGUGUCAGUAGUGACAGUGUUUAAUUGAUAUAUCCCUGAGACAUAAAGAUUCAGUUAAAUGUCAAAAUGUGUGUUAUUUUGACAUGAUAAUGGGGCUUGAUCUUAGGCUAUCUGUUCAUUUUGGUCAAACCAUUGAGAUAUGUGUGGAAAACCUGCAUCUGAAGAUUUCAGCACCAAUCCAUGUGACUUCAGUACAUAAAAAAGACAAAUAUUUCCAAUGUGACAUUUGAAUUAAUGCAGGAUUCUUUGUGAACAAUUAACAAAAGCCUAUGCCUGUUCUGCACCACUGAUGGGCCCAAUCAGAAUGGAUAACUGCCAGUUCAUUCAGAUGAACUUGCUGUUUUCAAGUUAGUACAUCAAAAAGAAACAGAUUUCAAAGAGAAUAAAAUAAACGCUUUGCAACUUGCCACAAUCCUAACCUUUGUUUGGAGUCCAUGAUAAGGUUUUAAGGGUUGAUCUAAUGCACAAACCAUGUCAUGUUUCCUGCUGCGUGUGCAUUUCACUGCCAUGUUAAAAUGCCAGCCUUUUUCCAUCUGCCAGGAGUGUGGCAUUGGGGUGAUUCAGCUGUUGGCAGGCUAUGUUUACAGGCCGUUUGUGGUAACUUAUUAACAGAAACAAGCAUUUCAGUUCAUUCUGUUGGGUAUCACAAUUAAAUCAUUGUCUUUUGACCUAUUUUUUUAUGUUUUUAAAAAAGAAAACAUAACAUAACAUCACAACAACAGGUUUUCAUAGUCCUGUAUUGUUUUUUGAAUACUGGCUCAAAGUAUAUAUUUGUGAGGUGCCAAGCCAACACUCCCCAACACUCACACCCUUGUCACACUAACCUACUUUCUGCUUAAAAACCAUAAAACCUCUAUAUGAGGUCACCAUUUGAGGUUAGAAUGGAUUUUUUGAUGCACAAGCUGACAUUUCAUCAUAGCAAGUAGUGCGUUCAGAGAGCCAGCGUUUGCUAUGAUCUGCUUGAAAUGUGGUUCUCUGUGGCCUGUUUAGCAACAGGCGAUAGCCGAGCCCAUGCUGUUAAUUGGCCCGUCCAGAGGGUGAGGUUUCCAGACAAGCACAAAGAAGGGGAACUGAGAGAACUAGGAUCACUGUAACUGGGUCAAUCAGGAGACCAGACAAGUUAAUUGAUCACACUGCAGAUCGUCAUUAGAGGGUUUUAACCACAGACUAUGUCAUAUUAUAAGUGUUUUUGGUGUAAGUAAAUUCUUCUUUUUUGUUGCUGAUGUAUUAACGCAAGCUGUGUCCCAUCCAUGCAACUUCAGGUAGAUCUGCUGUCAAUUUUUUGAGUAAAGGGUUACCACAUGCAUGCUGAUAACUAUAUGCUAUAACUAUAUAGGCCGAUAUCUUACUGUAGCCUAUAUUUCACUGACUAAUGCAGGUCACAAAAUUCAACCGCAUACUCCCAUUAGAAUGGAGCUCCUAAGGUCCCGUAAGGAGAUACUCUUUAUCUUGUGCGCACAUUCACAACAUACCUUCACAAGAUCCUGGAGGGACUGUAAAUUGAACUGUAUUUGACAUAGGACAGAUAUUCAAAAGUCCAGAUAUAAUAAAUCUGGACAUCCCUGCCCCCCACCCCCAGCUGGAAUGGCUAUGACACCACUGACUGUAACUCAGACCAAUCUAACACUACAAAAAGUGGGGCCUCUUGCUAAUCUCAAAUGCCCCCUGAUUGCAUCCUGCAGUGGCCCUGUCCAUACCACUGACCUCAGGAUAACAUCUAUGUCUUUUUUUUUUAUCACACCACUCUGAAUUGUUGGCAUCCAAAAGUAUGCAAAAACUGUGCUUUCAAAGUGGCACUUAAAUAUUUCAAACUUUCUGAGGUGUACAUUUAUUAUGAUCUCUAUUAAGAUGUACAUAAUGAUCGCUAGUCUGAGUGAACUCCUAAAGUAUGUAGAUCUUUCAUUUGACAUCAGUGAAUAAAAACAUUGCAUAGCUAAAAAGUUAAGCACACAUUCUUGUGAUGAGGAGAGCUGUGUUUAAUCUUAAAAAUAUCACAAACAAACUCAAGUUAUGACAGUUUAGUUCGUAGUGUUUUGUCUCAUCCUCACUUGGUGAAUACUGUGCGCUCUCUUUCCGGGUGUCAUGAAAUGACGCACAUCUCUCUACAAAAAACGAACUAUUGUUUAAGAAGCUCACCCACACAAACUCUCAAAUCAAAUCCUCAGGAAUGUGCUCUUUCACUGGUGAGAGUUACAAGCCGUUCCUAUCCGACAAUACCAGAGAGCAGGAUCACUGACAGAAAUAAUUCGUUCCAGGCAUACACUCCUCGCCAGCAAUGGUACCCAAAAUUUCAGAGCUCACUUAAAUCCGUUAACUCCAUCGUGUUUGUGACUCCCCAGACACAAGAGGUCUCCCGUGAACGUGUCGGACCCCGUCUUGCCCAUCAUGACAGUGUUUUACAUAGCCCACAUAAAUCUGAAUGUAUGAACAUACAGCCAAAACACAAGUUCGUUCUCUUAUGUGCAUUCAGUGUAAAUUAAUAUUGUGGUAGCCAACGUGGUCUCCUAUUGAUAACUAUUCAGGAAUUUUCUGCCAAUAUAAUGACAGUGUUUUCAAUACAGCAGACGUAAGAAUUGAAUGCAUUUCCACAGACAUACGUUAUGGUAGGUAGUUAACAAUACACAAUACUGUUAGUCCAGAUAAACGUAUUCGCAAGACUUCUAUAAACCGUACUGCAAUUUUAUUUCAGUUCGAAGAAUAUGCCAGAAUUGGGUGGAAAUUCGAAUGCUCGCUCAACAUGAAACCACUCGGGAGAGAAAGUGACUUUCACUUUACUUUCUCUAUGAAUAGCUCCUCCCUAUACCAAGGCGCAGUUAAGCAUCCUUCAAUGAGACGG